rnacentral:piRNA from 1 species
AAAAAAGGCUGAACAUUUUCACA